rnacentral:lncRNA from 10 species
UUGAUUCUAUUUCAUAAAAUGCAAAACAAUAAUCUUUAUAGGGAUCUCUCUCUAAGAUGGUCUCACACACAGAGAACACUACUAUUAACUUAUUCGUGUAUAUCCACCCAAUCUUUGUUCAUUGUUUUAUAAACAUAUGCACUCACUUACUACAUACCACAUACUACAUACCCACACACCACAACAUUUUUAAAUGCCUGGGAU